rnacentral:rRNA from 1 species
ACGACGCUGGCGGCGUGCCUAACACAUGCAAGUCGAACGGACUUUUUUAAAAGAUUUCUUCGGAAUGAAUUUGAUUAAGUUUAGUGGCGGACGGGUGAGUAACGCGUGAGUAACCUGCCUCUAAGAGGGGGAAUAACAUUCUGAAAAGAAUGCUAAUACCGCAUAACAUAUAUUUAUCGCAUGGUAGAUAUAUCAAAGAUUUAUCGCUUAGAGAUGGACUCGCGUCCGAUUAGUUAGUUGGUGAGGUAACGGCUCACCAAGACCGCGAUCGGUAGCCGGACUGAGAGGUUGAACGGCCACAUUGGGACUGAGACACGGCCCAGACUCCUACGGGAGGCAGCAGUGGGGGAUAUUGCGCAAUGGGGAAACCCUGACGCAGCAACGCCGCGUGAAGGAUGAAGGUCUUCGGAUUGUAAACUUCUUUUAUUAAGGACGAAGAAAGUGACGGUACUUAAUGAAUAAGCUCCGGCUAACUACGUG